AGCCAGCAGCCGCGGUAAUACCGGCGGCUCGAGUGGUGGCCGAUAUUAUUGAGUCUAAAGGGUCCGUAGCCGGCUUUGCAAGUCCCCUGGGAAAUCCAGCGGCUUAACCGUUGGGCUUUCAUGGGAUACUACAUUGCUUGGGACUGGGAGAGGUAGGAGGUACUCGGGGGGUAGGGGUGAAAUCCUGUAAUCCUCCGGGGACCACCGGUGGCGAAGGCGUCCUACCAGAACAGGUCCGACGGUGAGGGACGAAAGCUAGGGGCACGAACCGGAUUAGAUACCCGGGUAGUCCUAGCCGUAAACGAUGCCCGCUAGGUGUCACGACGGUCGUGAAUCGUCGUGGUGCCGUAGGGAAGCCGCGAAGCGGGCCACUUGGGAAGUACGGCCGCAAGGCUGAAACUUAAAGGAAUUGGCGGGGGAU
rnacentral:rRNA from 1 species